rnacentral:lncRNA from 1 species
AUGUCCAAAGCAGGACGUACUGACAUGCUUACAUUGAUGGCCAUGCGCUGGAAUCAGCAAAAGUUUAAUAACUUGGCUACUUCACUUGCCUGCCGAUAUCAGAAGGCCACAAAACGUCUAGAAAGCCAACUUCAGGACCUGGAAAGCAUGAGAAUCCAGCUGGCAGUGACACAGGUUGAAGUUGAGGGCUGGGUCACUGAUAUUAAGGAGUGGGCAGAUGCAACAACAUCCCAAAAGAAUGCCGAUCUUGACGCAGUGAUCAAUAGAAUAGAGGUGCUGGUGGCCAGCAUUAAAAGAAGGUCCCAGCGCCUUUACAAAGACACCGAUGGCAGCAAAGGUCGGGCCCGGAUCCGGCGCAAAAUCAGAGAGGAGAAGGCCAUUCUUAGCUCUGUUGUUGAAAAAUACAACAGUAUGGUUCCAGAUACAGAAAGAAUCGCCUUUGACAUCAUUCUCUCUGACGAGACAGUUUGGCCAUGGCAACUUUCACAUGGUGACGCUGUAGAUUUGAAAACCAAGAGGAAGGCGUUUGAUGUUGUGAUGGCUAUAAGGAGACUUGAGGAGGAGAAGAAGAUUGUUCUUUCUGAGAUGGCAAAGCAUUGGAAAUCUCUCUCCACUCGUGCAGACACACUCAAGGAGAUGUCAUGCCAGCUUUCCAGUGAGCUGUGGGAUCUAAAUGAAGAAGGGAUCAAGGGUUUCCUCAGCUUAACUUUGAGAAAGAAGCAAGAAGUCACCAGAAUGAUGAAGCAUGCAAGAGACUGUUAUGCUAAAGUUUUGACUGGAACAAGUAUGGACUUCCAGAAUGAUUGGGAUGGAUACGACAGUGAUUCUGAAUUGUCAGAUGAGUUUGAUGAGCUCUCAAGUGAGAAAUGAGCAUUAAGUCAAUUUUGUUGCAGAGUUUCCUUUUUAUUUUUUAUUUUGUUUAUUUUUUCUCCCACUCUAACAAUGCAGCCCUAUUUCUGAUACCGUAGGGGGUCAGAAAUGUUGCUGUGGGGGGCCACCACGGUUAAAUCAACAUGGAGGAAACACUGUUUGUGUGUCAGAUAUGCUUGAAUAAUAGUAUUCAUCAUAUCUACAUGUGACAUUACAACAAUAAUGAAUGUAAUUAAUUUAAGUAACUGUUUUUCCAAUAGUAAUCUUCUGUUUAUGGUAGAACAAAACUGUGUGGAAAAGUUUGCAGGAAGGUGUAAAUAUGUGCAUUGUAAUAAUAAUAAUAAACAUAAUUCCACUAAUGUCAUCUGCUGUGGCAAAUCUGAGUUUUCUGACAGUUUUACAUUGACACACAAACCCAUUUUUUUUCUGAAGUUGGACUCUUGCAUCAUCUCAUGCUACAAAUGGUCUCUGAAAGCAUCCUUGACAGGACUUUAUCAGCUGCUUCUCAUGUGCAGUGAAAGUACAUAGAGGUUCAACAAAUGCAAAAACUGGCCCAAAACUUGAAAAUGUGACUUAAUUAUAUACACAAUAGUGGUUAUUAUAUACACACAAUUAAAUUUUUCAGAAUUUGGAUGUUUAAUAGGGAAGCCUCACUGAAUUACUUCAAGAUUUGCUUUAAUAACUACAUUUCCUGACUAUAUGAAAAACCUACAGUUGAGUGUUUAAAAAUACAGCCUAAUAGCUCGUUUGACUAAUUUGCAUUUGUUUUAACUUGUACUGUUUGAAAAACAAAAAAUAAACCAUACAAACAGAAGCAUUUUUUUUUCAUACAUGUUAUUUAAAUUUCUAAUAUUGUGGUUGCUAAAUAUUAAUAGCAGAGACUACAGGGGGAAAAAA